UGGGGAAUAUUGCACAAUGGGCGAAAGCCUGAUGCAGCAACGCCGCGUGAGUGAUGAAGGUCUUCGGAUUGUAAAGCUCUGUCUUUUGGGGCGAUAAUGACGGUACCAAAGGAGGAAGCCACGGCUAACUACGUGCCAGCAGCCGCGGUAAUACGUAGGUGGCGAGCGUUGUCCGGAUUUACUGGGCGUAAAGGGUGCGUAGGCGGAUGUUUAAGUGAGAUGUGAAAUACCCGGGCUUAACUUGGGUGCUGCAUUUCAAACUGGAUAUCUAGAGUGCAGGAGAGGAGAAUGGAAUUCCUAGUGUAGCGGUGAAAUGCGUAGAGAUUAGGAAGAACACCAGUGGCGAAGGCGAUUCUCUGGACUGUAACUGACGCUGAGGCACGAAAGCGUGGGUAGCAAACAGGAUUAGAUACCCUGGUAGUCCACGCCGUAAACGAUGAGUACUAGGUGUAGGAGGUAUCGACCCCUUCUGUGCCGCAGUAAACACAUUAAGUACUCCGCCUGGGAAGUACGAUCGCAAGAUUAAAACUCUAAGUGAAUUG
rnacentral:rRNA from 1 species